GGCCUCGUGGCCUAAUGGCAUGGCGUCAGAUUUCGGUUCAUCGUGAUAGAGAAACACGAGAGCUUAUCCUCUGAAGAUUGUCGGUUCGAAUCCGGCCGAGGUCG